rnacentral:rRNA from 1 species
AGCGGAGGAAAAGAAACUAACAAGGAUUCCCCUAGUAACGGCGAGUGAAGCGGGAAGAGCUCAAAUUUGAAAUCUGGUAGCCUUCGGCUGCCCGAGUUGUAAUCUAGAGAAGUGUUUUCCGUGCCGGCCCAUGUACAAGUCCCUUGGAACAGGGCGUCAUAGAGGGUGAGAAUCCCGUCCUUGACAUGGACCCCCGGUGCUUUGUGAUACACUUUCAACGAGUCGAGUUGUUUGGGAAUGCAGCUCAAAAUGGGUGGUGAAUUCCAUCUAAAGCUAAAUAUUGGCGAGAGACCGAUAGCGAACAAGUACCGUGAGGGAAAGAUGAAAAGCACUUUGGAAAGAGAGUUAAACAGUACGUGAAAUUGUUGAAAGGGAAACGAUUGAAGUCAGUCAUGCUCUUUGGAUUCAGCCGUUCUGCGGUGUAUUUCCAUUGAGUGGGGUCAACAUCAGUUUUGAUCGCUGGAUAAAGGCACUAGGAAGGUAGCACUCUCGGGUGAACUUAUAGCCUAGCGUCAUAUACAGUGAUUGGGACUGAGGAACGCAGCAUGCCUUUAUGGCCGGGAUUCGUCCACGUACAUGCUUAGGAUGUU